GAUCCUGGCUCAGGAUGAACGCUAGCUACAGGCUUAACACAUGCAAGUCGAGGGAAACGAUAGAGAAAGCUUGCUUUUUCUAGGCGUCGACCGGCGCACGGGUGAGUAACGCGUAUCCAACCUGCCCAUCACUUGGGGAUAACCUUGCGAAAGUAAGACUAAUACCCAAUGACGUCUCUAGAAGACAUCUGAAGGAGAUUAAAGAUUUAUCGGUGAUGGAUGGGGAUGCGUCUGAUUAGCUUGUUGGCGGGGUAACGGCCCACCAAGGCGACGAUCAGUAGGGGUUCUGAGAGGAAGGCCCCCCACAUUGGAACUGAGACACGGUCCAAACUCCUACGGGAGGCAGCAGUGAGGAAUAUUGGUCAAUGGACGAGAGUCUGAACCAGCCAAGUAGCGUGCAGGAUGACGGCCCUAUGGGUUGUAAACUGCUUUUAUAAGGGAAUAAAGUGAGUCUCGUGAGACUUUUUGCAUGUACCUUAUGAAUAAGGACCGGCUAAUUCCGUG
rnacentral:rRNA from 1 species